UACGGGGGGGGCAAGCGUUGUUCGGAAUUACUGGGCGUAAAGGGCUCGUAGGCGGCCAACUAAGUCGGACGUGAAAUCCCUCGGCUCAACCGGGGAACUGCGUCCGAUACUGGAUGGCUUGAGUUCGGGAGAGGGAUGCGGAAUUCCAGGUGUAGCGGUGAAAUGCGUAGAUAUCUGGAGGAACACCGGUGGCGAAGGCGGCAUCCUGGACCGACACUGACGCUGAGGAGCGAAAGCAUGGGGAGCGAACAGG
rnacentral:rRNA from 1 species